UACGUAGGGCGCAAGCGUUGUCCGGAAUUAUUGGGCGUAAAGAGCUCGUAGGUGGCUUGUCGCGUCUGCCGUGAAAGACUCGGGCUUAACUCGGGUUCGGCCGUGGAUACGGGCUGGCUAGAGGUAGGUAGGGGAGAACGGAAUUCCUGGUGUAGCGGUGAAAUGCGCAGAUAUCAGGAGGAACACCGGUGGCGAAGGCGGUUCUCUGGGCCUUACCUGACGCUGAGGAGCGAAAGCGUGGGGAGCGAACAGG
rnacentral:rRNA from 1 species